AAACAUACAAACUGCCGCGAAAGCACUGUCUGCUUGCAUAUGGAUAUAUUUCAGAAAACAAAUGUUGUUCAGGACUCAGCCACUAAUACCUAAUGCUCAACAACUUCAAUACCUAAGAAGAAAUCUACCAUCAAAUCUUCAUAGACUGAAUUGUAAGGUAAAAUUUGUACUAUUUCCUAUAUGAAAAUGUUACUCAAAUGUCAAGUUGUUGGCAUGUAAUUAGUCUCAAAUAUUUUUAUGAUAAUGAUGAGAUAUUUAGAGAUGUGGCAGGACCAGGUUUCAUUUGCAUUUCACAUUAACCUGAAAAGCCUAUUUAUCACUUACUAAAAUUAAUAAGUUAUUUUACAUUUCUCUCUUCUCUUUCUCCCUCUUUCUUAUUUGGUCUUAUAAAUAAGGUCUUAUGACAUAAACUUGUAAUGUAAUUUACAGUUUAGCUUUGAACUUUUAAUAUUUCUGUUGAAGGCUUCUGAGCAGUGAGAUUUUAACGCUGGGCCAUCAUGCCUGGUGGAUCACUAUUCUUGCUGGCAUAUUCAUAAUACAUUAU
rnacentral:lncRNA from 1 species